GGGGUACGCCCUGGACAGGUCGCAAGUCCAUCACAAAUUUUCACGGUGAUCGUGGGGAUCUUGAUGAUUUGGUGAUCAUGGAGCACCAGAUGAAAAUAAAAGGCUUAAAAUCA